GUUGCUUGCUUGGGCAGUACAUAUCCUAAAUUGGAAUGAUACAGAGAAGAUUAACAUUUCUCCUGUGCAAGGAUAACAUGCAAAAUCAUGAAGUGUUGCAUAUUUGG